GCAGUCGAACGAACUCUUCGGAGUUAGUGGCGGACGGGUGAGUAACACGUGGGAACGUGCCUUUAGGUUCGGAAUAACUCAGGGAAACUUGUGCUAAUACCGAAUGUGCCCUUCGGGGGAAAGAUUUAUCGCCUUUAGAGCGGCCCGCGUCUGAUUAGCUAGUUGGUGAGGUAAAGGCUCACCAAGGCAACGAUCAGUAGCUGGUCUGAGAGGAUGGCCAGCCACAUUGGGACUGAGACACGGCCCAAACUCCUACGGGAGGCAGCAGUGGGGAAUCUUGCGCAAUGGGCGAAAGCCUGACGCAGCCAUGCCGCGUGGAUGAUGAAGGUCUUAGGAUUGUAAAAUCCUUUCACCGGUGAAGAUAAUGACUGUAGCCGGAGAAGAAGCCCCGGCUAACUUCGUGCCAGCAGCCGCGGUAAUACGAAGGGGGCUAGCGUUGCUCGGAUUUACUGGGCGUAAAGGGCGCGUAGGCGGACAUUUAAGUCAGGGGUGAAAUCCCGGGGCUCAACCUCGGAACUGCCUUUGAUACUGGAUGUCUUGAGUGUGAGAGAGGUGUGUGGAACUCCGAGUGUAGAGGUGAAAUUCGUAGAUAUUCGGAAGAACACCAGUGGCGAAGGCGACACACUGGCUCAUUACUGACGCUGAGGCGCGAAAGCGUGGGGAGCAAACAGGAUUAGAUACCCUGGUAGUCCACGCCGUAAACGAUGAUUGCUAGUUGUCGGGAUGCAUGCAUCUCGGUGACGCAGCUAACGCAUUAAGCAAUCCGCC
rnacentral:rRNA from 1 species